AGGCGACGUUGACAGUGGCCAAGUCUCUUUCGACACCGCACAAGUUGAUGCCACGCUGGAAGAGGAUGUAUCCGGCGUCACCAAACCCAGGCCCCCAAGAAUUACGAAUAAUCUACACAAAGCUGCUGAAAUCCAAAAGAAAUGAAUUAUUACCCAAUAAUCCGUGCCGUCAUCAGAGGUGCCGUAGCCCACGGCAGCGAUGGCGUGAAGACCUUCAUUGCCUUCGCAGGGAGUGGUGUACACGCCGGAUCUAGUCGAAACAGCCCCCGAAAAUAAUGAUUCAGCAAUUUGUUUGGAAUUUAUUAAUCUUUUCAACACCAACGGUACCUGUAGCUCAUGAAUUUGUCGGUAACUCCGAUGCAAACGGCGACGACCUUCCUCCUGGCCAGCAACCUCAUUACGCCAUUUUCGUCUCCUUGUUGCAGAACGAUGAUGGGAUUGGUGGCAGCUAGUUGAGCUCCUUUCCUCCUAUUCUUGCAGGUGGGUCCUCUCACUUUCGUUUCACCCGACACGUAAGGGUAGUAAGCGGAGUAAGCCUGGCCGCCGGCCGUGAUGAGGGAGUUCCAAUACUCGUGAUAGGAUCCACCUCCGCAUUCCCUAUCGGGAAAGUCGCAAUCGACGAUUUGCUGCUCACUGUUCACGGGAAAAGAAAUUAGCUAAAUCAAUUGGAAAAUUAUCUUGUCCAAGUUAUAUAUACCUGAGAUUGACCGGCCUUCCUGAUUUCAUACACUGGGCAAAUUCAACGGCCGCGGUGGCUGCGAAGGCGGAACAGCUUCCACACGCACCUUGAUUUUUAACGGGUUGCAUGCAUCGGUGAUCACGCACAUCAAACUUACGGAGCUGGGCAGAUAUCGGAGAGUGAGAUCAUCGUCUUCCUCGACCAGUCCAGUUUCAAAUCCCAAUUCUUGGUAAAGAGAUUUGGUCGAAGCGAGAGUGUUGUUUAGUAAGUACUUUUUACGUUCCUCGACGUCCUAUGAAUUUGCAUUGCAAAUUUACAUAUGACCAAAAUGACAAAUGAGAAAUUCUAAUACCAAAACAGAGAAUUCGUUGUGUCCCAUUUGAUAGGUGGAUUUAGGAUCGGCGUUGUGUUCUUCGAUGAUGCUGUGGAUCCUCUCGAAAUUGGAUUUGGACUUUCCAUACUCAGCUUUGGUUUUGAUUCCCAACGGGCUAUAAAUUUUUACCAGAUAUUGUUGCCAAGCGUCUUCCACGUCGGCACGGGUCUGAAUAACCCCACAGACAACUACCAGCAAGGCGACAAGGAAGAUAAAUUUCGACAUUCUACAUAAAUUUAACAAAUCACCGAUAAACCUAUUAUAUUUUACAGUAUGCGAAAAGGGACUUACCUCCAGACCGAGAAGAGCAGAAUAGGCAGAUGAGUCCGAUACCGGCGAUUUUUAUAGGUCCGAUUAUUGAUUCAAUGCAAACAGGUGUCCAUCUGUCACCAAUUUCCGAUUUGGUGUACGUGGCUUUAUAUAUAUGGCAUUCACGAAAUCCUUUAUUUUACACCUACGUAGCCUACCUUAUUUUACACGCUAUGCAGACCGCAUCUGUCAGCAGCUACAAAUAAUGAUCCCGCGAUUAAUAUUGAUACAGCCCUUAUCAAUGUCCUUCCAAAAUAGUCAGCUGUUUCGCCAUAGCGCACUUCAAAUAACUUUCCGAAUUAGUCCAAUGACUUAUCAGAGCGAAGCCAAUUUAAACAAAAAGCCGAAGGACAUGGGCGUUGCGUUCUCAGUGACCCGUGAAGGAGAGAAAACGAAGGUCCAUUCCAGGAUUCUUUACAAUUGGACGAAUGACAAUAAAUAUGUAAGACUCUCGACAACGCCAAAAAAUGAAAAACAACUUUGCAACUGAAAACGAGAAAAAACAAUCGCGCUGAUUUUUGAUUGAUUAAUUAUUGCAGCUCUGUACAUGGCACGAAUGAGUUAUGAUAAUGUGAAAUGCCGAGUGCAUAUUAUAUCUUUCGAAAUCAAACACAUUUGAAAGUUUAUUCAGCGUCUAGUGAUUUGACAAUACUUUCUAUAAGAAGUCUUGAAUGACAGUUUGGAUUACGUGCCAUAAAACAAGGCCAUAUCGUCACCCCUGUUACUUUUCCGAUAGAGGGUAGCAUAUAGCUUUACAGUUAUCAAACAACCUGUUCUCCGGUACAAAGUAAGAAAAAACGAACCUGUACUGUAUCAAUUUUUUUUUUUUCUAAAUCAACAUUUCACAAACUGACUGGCGAUUGCGCUCUGAUGUCGUAUUUUCUAUGAUUUCCCAUUGCGCGUCUGUGUUAAUAAAUACUGAAAAAUGAUUUUUUGUUUUUUCAGCCGAGCUGCAAUCAGUUUUUCCUGGCCGUGGGCGACAGUUAAUAUCCGGUUGUAACUGUGUAUAUAGAACUGGUUUUCUUCUGGGCGUGGCCUUUUUUUAGUCUGUUAUUUUACCCUUUAACGGCGCAUCAUUUAAAAUGUGAAGGUUUAAGUUAAUGCCUCUUUCCAACAUAAUGUUAUCUGAAAGUAUCAAAUUUUUUUUUAAAUAUUUCUAAAUUGAAUUUCGCAAAUUUUUGAAUAAAUCGAUAAACAUUAAAAACUA
rnacentral:lncRNA from 1 species